UAGGGAAUCUUCGGCAAUGGGGGCAACCCUGACCGAGCAACGCCGCGUGAGUGAAGAAGGUUUUCGGAUCGUAAAGCUCUGUUGUAAGAGAAGAACGUGUGUGAGAGUGGAAAGUUCACACAGUGACGGUAACUUACCAGAAAGGGACGGCUAACUACGUGCCAGCAGCCGCGGUAAUACGUAGGUCCCGAGCGUUGUCCGGAUUUAUUGGGCGUAAAGCGAGCGCAGGCGGUUUAAUAAGUCUGAAGUUAAAGGCAGUGGCUUAACCAUUGUUCGCUUUGGAAACUGUUAAACUUGAGUGCAGAAGGGGAGAGUGGAAUUCCAUGUGUAGCGGUGAAAUGCGUAGAUAUAUGGAGGAACACCGGUGGCGAAAGCGGCUCUCUUGUCUGUAACUGACGCUGAGGCUCGAAAGCGUGGCGAGCAAACAGG
rnacentral:rRNA from 1 species